rnacentral:rRNA from 1 species
GACGGAGGAUGCAAGUGUUAUCCGGAAUCACUGGGCGUAAAGCGUCUGUAGGUGGUCAAAUAAGUCAACUGUUAAAUCUUGAGGCUCAACCUCAAAAUCGCAGUCGAAACUAUUAGACUAGAGUAUAGUAGGGGUAAAGGGAAUUUCCAGGUGGAGCGGUGAAAUGCGUAGAGAUUGGAAAGAACACCGAUGGCGAAGGCACUUUACUGGGCUAUUACUAACACUCAGAGACGAAAGCUAGGGUAGCAAAUGGG